UUCAGCAGACAACCAGGCAGGGAGGAGAAAACAGGUUGAUGAUCAGCAGAACAGACUGGAGACGUGAAACCAUUGAAGAUAAACAUCAUGUUAAGAAGCUGGAGAUACUGAUGAGUGUUUUCUGAAGAGAAAUAAUUCUCUAUACUGGGUCAAUAUUGAGGAUAAAUGCUGCCUUUAAUAUUAGUAAUUAAUAGGUAUAAUUGMUCCAUACUGUACACUGACUGUCACUGUGAUCUGUUCAGCACCAAGGAACCAAGUCGCUGCUGCUGCAGUUCCUGCUGUUUUCCUGAUUCUCACACUCAUCUUCCUUUUUUUGUGGAUCAUCAGAAAAACCAAAGUGUGGAAGCAGCAGUCCAAACCUGGAGCAGGACAAGUUCCCAGUGAACAGGUGAACCCAGAAGAGGACAAUGUUGUCUACUCUGUUGUCCACUUAGCAACGCAACAAGAAGAGCCUCUUUACUCCAACAUUAACCCAACUCGGUCCAAGAGACACAAGAAGAAGAGGAAGGAAGAAGAAAUGGUGGAGUAUGCCUCUGUUAACUGUGGUAGAACCAGAACUGAUGCAAGAACCGAGUCUGAAAAGCAGGACACUGUGGAGGAUCCAGCUGCCUUCUACAGCACAGUCAACAAACCGAGAAAGAACGGCAGAGAAACUCCUACUGGUUUAUAAAUKACUUUUACUUUUGUUCUCUUAGUUUAGCCAGAGAAACUCCUGGUAGUGUUUAAAUUAUCCAUUGUUUGUUUUUCUUUUGCUAUUUUCUUUUAUGUUUGUAUUUCCUCUAAUUCAUGUAAAGAGCUUUGAAUUGCCUUGUUGCUUAAAAUGUGCCAUAUAAAUAAAAUGACGUUACCUUGAGAAAAUAUAAAUCAAAAGCGAUGUGAAAUCAUCCUCAUUCUAGAUGUUAAAGAAAACCACAAAGGCAACACAGUUUUGAUGUCAUUUGUAUUAUUAUUGAGACACCGAAUUUAUUAGUUUUUUACUGUUCAUGUUUAUUAUAGUUCACAAGUAACCCACCCAAUUUGUUUGUUUAAGUUAAUUCUUCAUUAAAGUUUGUUCAUUCCUUCAGAACUUGGUUUUGUGUCCAUCUUCUGCCUUGAUCUUUGGUACUCAUAUUUCCUGUACGUCAUUGAAUGUGACAUUUUACGUGUGUUCCUUGAACGUGCCUUUUAUCGAGGCAGCGCACUGUUUCCGUUCUGCUGAGGAGAGUUGGGCACCGAGUGUGACAGGAUGAGUUCGUGUUAAAGGAAAUAAAAAAACUUUUUUUUAUUCACAAAGACAACUCCGGACGUCAUCUGUGCCUGAUCCCAGCAACAUUAUACUUCAGUUUUUUUUCCAGCACAAAUAAUAUAAUUUGAUAAAUCUGUUUGGUUAAACUGUGCAGCUUAAACUUUACUUGAAUAAAAUGCCGCCUUAAUUCAGCUUUCAGAUGAUUUAUGUGUUGCAGGUUGGUAACUAAUAGUUACACAACUUUAUACACAAAGAUCGGACUACCAAAAUAAAAGCCUUCAGCUAAACCAGAAAAGAAAUGCUCCAGAAAGGCAGUUUCAAUAUAGUCGCUAUUUAUGCUGCAAAUACUUUCACAACUUUCUAUUGAGUUCUGUAUAGUAUACAGGAGUCAGGAAUUUAAAUAUUAACUAAACUAAAAUGAACAUAUACUCUUAAUUUCUGUUUGGAAUCGUCAGUUACAACUAAAUGACUGAUCAGGGGCACAAUGUUAUGGAUAAUUUGAGAUAGCAAGAUUUCUUAAGCAGAAAUUGUCUCAAUUUGUUCAUGAGGUGAAAUGCUGAAUAUAA